UACGGGGGGGGCAAGCGUUGUUCGGAAUUACUGGGCGUAAAGGGCUCGUAGGCGGCCAACUAAGUCAGACGUGAAAUCCCUCGGCUUAACUGGGGAACUGCGUCUGAUACUGGAUGGCUUGAGUUUGGGAGAGGGACGCGGAAUUCCAGGUGUAGCGGUGAAAUGCGUAGAUAUCUGGAGGAACACCGGUGGCGAAGGCGGCGUCCUGGACCAACACUGACACUGAGGAGCGAAAGCCAGGGGAGCAAACGGG
rnacentral:rRNA from 1 species